GACGAACGCUGGCGGCGUGCUUAACACAUGCAAGUCGAACGGAAAGGCCCCUUUGGGGGUACUCGAGUGGCGAACGGGUGAGUAACACGUGAGUAACCUUCCCUUGACUUCGGGAUAACUUCAGGAAACUGGGGCUAAUACCGGAUAGGAAUCCUUGCUGCAUGGUGGGGGUUGGAAAGCUUCGGCGGUUUUGGAUGGACUCGCGGCUUAUCAGCUUGUUGGUGGGGUAGUGGCUUACCAAGGCUUUGACGGGUAGCCGGCCUGAGAGGGCGACCGGCCACAUUGGGACUGAGAUACGGCCCAGGCUCCUACGGGAGGCAGCAGUGGGGAAUAUUGCACAAUGGGCGGAAGCCUGAUGCAGCAACGCCGCGUGCGGGAUGACGGCCUUCGGGUUGUAAACCGCUUUCAGCAGGGGCGAAGCUUGUGGUGACGGUACCUGCAGAAGAAGCACCGGCUAACUACGUG
rnacentral:rRNA from 1 species